AGAGUUUGAUCCUGGCUCAGAUUGAACGCUGGCGGCACGCUUAACACAUGCAAGUCGAACGGCAGCAUGGUAUGUGCUUGCACAUACUGAUGGCGAGUGGCGGACGGGUGAGUAAUGCGCAGGAAUAUGCCUUAAAGAGGGGGAUAACAUGGGGAAACUCAUGCUAAUACCGCAUGUGCUCUGAGGAGCGAAGCUGGGGACCUUAUGGCCUGGCGCUUUAAGAAUAGCCUGCGUCUGAUUAGCUAGUUGGUGGGGUAAAGGCCUACCAAGGCGAUGAUCGGUAGCUGGUCUGAGAGGAUGGACAGCCACACUGGGACUGAGACACGGCCCAGACUCCUACGGGAGGCAGCAGUGGGGAAUAUUGGACAAUGGGGGGAACCCUGAUCCAGCGAUGCCGCGUGUGUGAAGAAGGCCUGAGGGUUGUAAAGCACUUUUAGUGGGGAGGAGGUCUUAUAGGUUAAGAGCUAAUGAGAUGGACGUUACUCACAGAAAAAGCACCGGCUAACUCCGUGCCAGCAGCCGCGGUAAUACGGAGGGUGCGAGCGUUAAUCGGAAUGACUGGGCGUAAAGGGUGCGUAGGUGGUUAAAUAAGUUAUAGGUGAAAUCAUAGGGCUCAACCUUGUGUGGAAUUAUAAUACUGUUUAACUAGAGUAUAGGAGAGGGCAGUGGAAUUUCCGGUGUAGCGGUGAAAUGCGUAGAGAUCGGAAGGAACACCAGUUGCGAAGGCGGCUGCCUGGCCAUAUACUGACACUGAGUCACGAAAGCGUGGGUAGCAAACAGGAUUAGAUACCCUGGUAGUC
rnacentral:rRNA from 1 species